rnacentral:rRNA from 1 species
UACGGAGGGUGCGAGCGUUGUCCGGAAUCACUGGGCGUAAAGGGCGCGUAGGCGGCGCGGAUAGUCGGCGGUGAAAGCCCGGAGCUCAACUCCGGGUCGGCCGUCGAUACUUCCGGGCUUGAGCACUGUAGAGGCAGAUGGAAUUCCGGGUGUAGCGGUGAAAUGCGUAGAUAUCGGGAGGAACACCUGUGGCGAAAGCGGCUCACUGGACCACAACUGACGCUGAGGCGCGAAAGCUAGGGGAGCAAACAGG